rnacentral:rRNA from 1 species
UACAGAGGGUGCGAGCGUUAAUCGGAAUUACUGGGCGUAAAGCGCACGUAGGCGGCUUGGUAUGUCGGGUGUGAAAUCCCCGGGCUCAACCUGGGAACUGCAUCCGAAACUGCCUUGCUCGAGUAUGGGAGAGGGAAGCGGAAUUUCCGGUGUAGCGGUGAAAUGCGUAGAUAUCGGAAGGAACAUCAGUGGCGAAGGCGACUUCCUGGACCAAUACUGACGCUCAGGUGCGAAAGCGUGGGGAGCAAACAGG